AUGAGCAUGCGUCCCAUUAGCUAGAUGGUAAGGUAACGGCUUACCAUGGCUACGAUGGGUAGGGGUCCUGAGAGGGAGAUCCCCCCACACUGGUACUGAGACACGGACCAGACUCCUACGGGAGGCAGCAGUGAGGAAUAUUGGACAAUGGGCGCAAGCCUGAUCCAGCCAUGCCGCGUGCAGGAAGAAGGUCCUAUGGAUUGUAAACUGCUUUUAUACAGGAAGAAACACUCCCUCGUGAGGGAACUUGACGGUACUGUAUGAAUAAGGACCGGCUAACUCCGUG
rnacentral:rRNA from 1 species